rnacentral:tRNA from 1 species
GCGCCUGUAGCUCAGCCCGGUUAGAGCACCGUUCUGAUACAGCGGGAGUCGUUGGUUCAAAUCCAACCAGGCGCACCA